AUUGAUAUGCCGUAACAAUUUUAUUGGAAUUUUUAACGAAAUUUAAUAUAAACUUGGAUUCAAUAUUUUUAAUGAGAUGAAAAACCAUUUAGUUUGCUUUAUUAUUAAUGAUUAUAAUUUUUAAAAAGCAUAUUUUGAUUAGCUUCUAUAAGGGUUAUGUUUGUAUUAUCUUUUAAAAUUUCACUUCGUCUUCUUCCAAACUUUGCUUCUCUCUCGCCUAAUUAUGGGGUUAGAAAGAGAGAUCGAACCAUUUUGAUGCUCUUUUUACUGCUGAAUCUCGUGCUCCGUCUGGAAUGUAAGGAUCCAUUCUGCAAAAGCAUCUCCAGUCAUGCAGAUCACCGAUCUUACUGUGGCUGCAACUAAAAAAGCCUUCUCUUCAAAGAAUCAGGAAAAUUUCGGCUGUUGUGUAAUAUGUACUCAGUGGACAUCGGUUUAAGCUUCAUAUCCCAAAGUUAACAUGUAGCGUUGCAUUUGCAAUCUCUGGUAUCAGAUUCCUGACAAGAAGUAUCAAACGGAAGUACAACCGUAGAAACCAGAAAAAAAUGAGACCUUUGUGAAUAUCUCUUUAGCACCACUCAGAUAGUUUUUAUACAUGUAUACAAUAAGCAUCGAUCCAUUCAAGUUUCCUUCCAUUUUGUAUGAUAAUAGGUUGCUUUCACAGAGGUACUUGGAGGUGGUCGCUUCUAUGUUCAAUCGGUUGGAGACUAGAAACUAGCUUCGAUUUAGAACCAUCUUGCAUCCAUGUGUGUCAAAAAUGCUCCCAUCAUUGCAUCCUUCAACCCUAAGAGAGGUGACACAGUUUAUCCUUGACAACUUCUGGAACCGUGCAAUGAUUGUGAUGCACCACGAGGAGCUGUUGAGAUGAUAAAUUUGAUAAGUGUUCUACAUUGAUUAUGGAAACCAAGAAGUAGUCCCUAUAGCGCAAUCCGACCAGUAGACCCUUCGGUAUCAUUAGCACCAGGGCAUGCUCAGCUCUAGAGACUUUCCCCUACAUUAAGCUUCCAAGCUUGAAAGAAGACUUUGGUCCUGAAGAAGGAAAGUAUUUACAUACAGUAACGUUGGGUAAUGGUAAAGAUUUUAACGCACUGAUAGAAGAAAGAGACACAUAUGGAGGCAAAGUCAAAGGCUAAGGCACUGGAACUGAGAUUACUGUCACUCUUAUGGCAGUCGACAAUGAGAUCUCGGUCAAUGUUGCAAUGCUUCUGGUGUUUUCUUUCUGUCACGGAUUAAGAGUACCCUCCAUAUGUUUUUAAAAGUCUCAUCGCAUGAUAUAUCGGGCCGGACCUGGUAUAUCAUCUAUUGAUAUCUCUUAGUUGCUCAUGAGAUGUCCUUUGUUUUAGAACUUCAUUAUCUUACAGUUAAAAUAUUCAACUAUUAGCACCUCUUAUAUGGGGUUAUUGUUCAGAUAUUUACCUCUAUUAUGUUAUCCCCAACUAUCUGGUUAUAUGUUCA